UUUUCAAAUAGGACAUGUAGUUUGUCUGCAGCGAGUGUUUUGGUAGAAACUGCGCCUCCCAUUCAUUAUAAUGGGAAAUGACCACAGACAAGUGCGCACUCCAUCUUUGGACCUUGAGUGUGACGCGAUCGGGAGGUGGAGGCGGUCGCGCUGGGGGCGGCACGACACGGCUCGGGCCCGACAGUGCCCCACCGGGGCCCUAGUUAGGGCCCGAGCGUAGCUGCUAAGCAGCUGCGAGAGCCCUAUUAUUCCUGAUGGAUUCUUCUUAGGGCCCGAGCGUAGCUGCUAAGCAGCUGCGAGAGCCCUCUUGUUCCUGCAUGUUUCCUUCUUUUGUUAUUAGGGCCCGAGCGUAGCUGCUAAGCAGCUGCGAGAGCCCUAUUAUUCCCCAAGUGGUUUUUCUUUGUUUCUUUUUAGGGCCCGAGCGUAGCUGCUAAGCAGCUGCGAGAGCCCUAUUAUUCCCCAAGUGGUUUUUCUUUGUUUCUUUUUAGGGCCCGAGCGUAGCUGCUAAGCAGCUGCGAGAGCCCUAUUAUUCCCCAAGUGGUUUUUCUUUGUUUCUUUCUUUCUUCUUUUUCCUCCCCUUUGAACUGGAAAAUGGCCCACUUCCCACUGGUGAAAACUCAUGAAAUUUGGCAGGAUGACCGGGCCUGGUGAAAAAUUUGAUAUUCCGAAGUCGCCCAAACAAGAAAAUGCAAAAUGGCUCCAUAGCGCCCCCUAAGGUGAAAAUUCACACUAUUGACUGUCACGCCUUUACGCUUUGUCAUAUUGACACAAAAAUUGACACACACAUGUAUCUCAAUAAGAUCUACAAAAAAGUCAGUGCGGGCGUAUCUGUCAAAUGUACGGUUAAAGGGUUAUUCCGCAUUUUUUGCCGAUCCGCACACAUUGGAAUUUCGCUAACUCCUCCGAAGGCUUUCGUUCCACUGGCACCACAUUUGCUCAGGCCAAUCUACACCCCAUGGCCAUUAAAAGUUAUUCAAAUCAUGCACUGCACCCCACGGUUUAGGUUCUAGGGGGCGCCAAAGAUAACCCUAAAAUCCACAUAUUUAAAAGUCUUAUAACUUUUUAUUUUUGCCCUCACUGGCCUCCAAGUUUUCUAGGAUGAUGCAAUGUCCAGCCAUCAACACAUUUGUGAAGGAAUUUUUAAUCCCCAAAAGAGCGCCCCCCCAUGGCAGGAGAAAAAAGUCCAUUUUUUCUUGUCCCCUAAGGUGAAAAUACACAUUGUUGAGUGUCACGCCUGUACGCUUUGUCAUAUUGACACAAAAUUUGACACACACAUGUAUCUCAAUAAGAUCUACGAAAAAGUCAAUGCGCGCGUAUCUGUCAAAUGUACGGUUAAAGGGUUAUUCCGCAUUAUUUGCUGAUCCGCACACAUUGGAAUUUCGCUAACUCCUCCUAAGGCUGGCGUUCCACCGGCACCACAUUUGCUCAGGCCAAUCUACACCCCAUGGCCAUUAAAAGUUAUUCAAAUCAUGACGCUGCACCCCACGGUUUAGGUUCUAGGGGGCGCCAAAGAUAACCCUAAAAUCCACAUAUUUCAAAGUCUUAUAACUUUUUAUUUUUGCCCUCACUGGCCUCCAAGUUUUCUAGGAUGAUGCAAUGUCCAGCCAUCAACACAUUUGUGAAGGAAUUUUUAAUCCCCAAAAGAGCGCCCCCCAUGGCAGGAGAAAAAAGUCCAUUUUUUCUUGUCCCAUAAGAUGAAAAAACACAUUGUUGACUGUCAUACCUGUACGCUUUGUCAUAUUGACACAAAAUUUGACAAUCACAUGUAUCUCAAUAAGAUCUACGAAAAAGUCAAUGCGCGCGUAUCUGUAAAAUGUACGGUUAAAGGGCUAUUUUGCAUUUUUUGCCGAUUCGCACACAUUGGAAUGUGGCUAACUCCUCCUAAGGCUUUCGUCCCACUGACACCAAAUUUGCUCAGGCCAAUCUACACCCCAUGGCCAUUCAAAGUUGUAAAAAUCAUGACGCUGCACCCCACGGUUUACGUUCUAGGGGGCGCCAAAGAUGACCCAAAUAUCCACAUUCUUAAAAGAAUCCACAUCCCCCCCCCCCCCCAUCCCCCAACCCCCAUGGCAGGAGAAACAGUCAAGUUUUUCCUGCCCAUCACUCAAUGGCUCAAUCGCAUCACUCUCCCGGCAACACCGUAACGAGGAGCAACUUGCCGUUUGGAUAUAUCCUAGCUGUGUUUGUGCCCUCACUCAUGGUCCAGACUUUUUUCAAAUAGGACAUGUAGUUUGUCUGCAGCGAGUGUUUUGGUAGAAACUGCGCCUCCCAUUCAUUAUAAUGGGAAAUGACCACAGACAAGUGCGCACACCAUCUUUGGACCUUGAGUGUGACGCGAUCAGGAGGGGGAGGCGGUCACGCCGGGGGCGGCACGACGCGGCUCGGGCCCGACAGUGCCCCACCGGGGCCCUAGUUAGGGCCCGAGCGUAGCUGCUAAGCAGCUGCGAGAGCCCUCUUGUUCCUGUAGUUUCCUUCUUUAGGGCCCGAGCCAGCUGCAGAGCAGCCGGGCGUAGGCCCUAUUAUUCCCCAAGUGGUUUUUCUUUGUUUCUUUCUUUCUUUCUUUCUUUCUUCUUUUUCCUCCCCUUUGAACUGGAAAAUGGCCCACUUCCCACUGGCGAAAACUCAUGAAAUUUGGCAGGACGACCGGGCCUGGUGAAAAAUUCGAUAUUCUGAAGUCGCCCAAACAAUAAAAUGCAAAAUGGCUCCAUAGCGCCCCCUAAGGUGGAAAUUCACACUAUUGACUGUCACGCCUGUACGCUUUGUCAUAUUGACACAAAAAUUGACACACAUAUGUAUCUCAAUAAGAUCUACAAAAAAGUCAGUGCGGCCGUAUCUGUCAAAAUUACGGUUAAAGGGUUAUUUCGCAUUUUUUGCCGAUCCGCACACAUUGGAAUUUCGCUAACUCCUCCGAAGGCUUUCGUUCCACCGGCACCACAUUUGCUCAGGCCAAUCUACACCCCGUGGCCAUUAAAAGUUAUCAAAAUCAUGACGCUGCACCCCAAGGUUUAGGUUCUAGGGGGCGCCAAAGAUAACACUAAAAUCCACAUAUUUAAAAGUCUUAUAACUUUUUAUUUUUGUCCUCACUGGCCUCCAAGUUUUCUAGGAUGAUGCAAUGUCCAGCCAUCAACACAUUUGUGAAGGAAUUUUUACUCCCCAAAAGAGCGCCCCCCCAUGGCAGGAGAAAAAAGUCCAUUUUUUCUUGUCCCCUAAGGUGAAAAUACACAUUGUUGAGUGUCACGCCUAUACGCUUUGUCAAAAUGACACAAAAAUUGACACACACAUGUAUCUCAAUAAGAUCUACGAAAAAGUCAAUGCGUGCGUAUCUGUCAAAUGUACGGUUAAAGGGUUAUUCCGCAUUUUUUGCCGAUCCGCACACAUUGGAAUGUGGCUAACUCCUCCUAAGGCUUUCGUUCCACCGGCACCACAUUUGCUCAGGCCAAUCUGCACCCCAUGGCCAUUAAAAGUUAUUCAAAUCAUGACGCUGCACCCCACGGUUUAGGUUCUAGGGGGCGCCAAAGAUAACCCUAAAAUCCACAUAUUUAAAAGUCUUAUAACUUUUUAUUUUUGUCCUCACUGGCCUCCAAGUUUUCUAGGAUGAUGCAAUGUCCAGCCAUCAACACAUUUGUGAAGGAAUUUUUUCUCCCCAAAAGAGCGCCCCCCCAUGGCAGGAGAAAAAGUCAAGUUUUUCUUGUCCCCCAAGGCAAAAAUACACAUUGUUGAAUGUCACGCCUGUACGCUUUGUCAUAUUGACACAAAAUUUGACAAUCACGUGUAUCUCAAUAAGAUCUACGAAAAAGUCAAUGCGCGUGUAUCUGUAAAAUGUACGGUUAAAGGGCUAUUUCGCAUUUUUUGCCGAUUCGCACACAUUGGAAUUUCGCUAACUCCUCCUAAGGCUUUCGUCCCACUGACACCAAAUUUGCUCAGGCCAAUCUACACCCCAUGGCCAUUCAAAUUUGUACAAAUCAUGAAGCUGCACCCCACGGUUAAGGUUCUAGGGGGCGCCAAAGAUGACCCGAAUAUCCCCAUUUUUAAAAGUCUUAAAACUUUUUAUUUUUGUCCUCACUGGCCUCCAAGUUUUCUAGGAUGAUGCAAUGUCCAGCCAUCAACACAUUUGUGAAGGAAUUUUUUCUCCCCAAAAGAGCGCCCCCCCAUGGCAGGAGAAAAAGUCAAGUUUUUCUUGUCCCCCAAGGCAAAAAUACACAUUGUUGAAUGUCACGCCUGUACGCUUUGUCAUAUUGACACAAAAUUUGACAAUCACGUGUAUCUCAAUAAGAUCUACGAAAAAGUCAAUGCGCGUGUAUCUGUAAAAUGUACGGUUAAAGGGCUAUUUCGCAUUUUUUGCCGAUUCGCACACAUUGGAAUUUCGCUAACUCCUCCUAAGGCUUUCGUCCCACUGACACCAAAUUUGCUCAGGCCAAUCUACACCCCAUGGCCAUUCAAAGUUGUAAAAAUCAUGACGCUGCACCCCACGGUUUACGUUCUAGGGGGCGCCAAAGAUGACCCAAAUAUCCACAUUCUUAAAAGAAUCCACAUCCCCCCCCCCCCCCCCCAUCCCCCAACCCCCAUGGCAGGAGAAACAGUCAAGUUUUUCCUGCCCAUCACUCAAUGGCUCAAUCGCAUCACUCUCCCGGCAACACCGUAACGAGGAGCAACUUGCCGUUUGGAUAUAUCCUAGCUGUGUUUGUGCCCUCACUCAUGGUCCAGACUUUUUUCAAAUAGGACAUGUAGUUUGUCUGCAGCGAGUGUUUUGGUAGAAACUGCGCCUCCCAUUCAUUAUAAUGGGAAAUGACCACAGACAAGUGCGCACACCAUCUUUGGACCUUGAGUGUGACGCGAUCAGGAGGGGGAGGCGGUCACGCCGGGGGCGGCACGACGCGGCUCGGGCCCGACAGUGCCCCACCGGGGCCCUAGUUAGGGCCCGAGCGUAGCUGCUAAGCAGCUGCGAGAGCCCUCUUGUUCCUGUAGUUUCCUUCUUUAGGGCCCGAGCCAGCUGCAGAGCAGCCGGGCGUAGGCCCUAUUAUUCCCCAAGUGGUUUUUCUUUGUUUCUUUCUUUCUUUCUUUCUUUCUUCUUUUUCCUCCCCUUUGAACUGGAAAAUGGCCCACUUCCCACUGGCGAAAACUCAUGAAAUUUGGCAGGACGACCGGGCCUGGUGAAAAAUUCGAUAUUCUGAAGUCGCCCAAACAAUAAAAUGCAAAAUGGCUCCAUAGCGCCCCCUAAGGUGGAAAUUCACACUAUUGACUGUCACGCCUGUACGCUUUGUCAUAUUGACACAAAAAUUGACACACAUAUGUAUCUCAAUAAGAUCUACAAAAAAGUCAGUGCGGCCGUAUCUGUCAAAAUUACGGUUAAAGGGUUAUUUCGCAUUUUUUGCCGAUCCGCACACAUUGGAAUUUCGCUAACUCCUCCGAAGGCUUUCGUUCCACCGGCACCACAUUUGCUCAGGCCAAUCUACACCCCGUGGCCAUUAAAAGUUAUCAAAAUCAUGACGCUGCACCCCAAGGUUUAGGUUCUAGGGGGCGCCAAAGAUAACACUAAAAUCCACAUAUUUAAAAGUCUUAUAACUUUUUAUUUUUGUCCUCACUGGCCUCCAAGUUUUCUAGGAUGAUGCAAUGUCCAGCCAUCAACACAUUUGUGAAGGAAUUUUUACUCCCCAAAAGAGCGCCCCCCCAUGGCAGGAGAAAAAAGUCCAUUUUUUCUUGUCCCCUAAGGUGAAAAUACACAUUGUUGAGUGUCACGCCUAUACGCUUUGUCAAAAUGACACAAAAAUUGACACACACAUGUAUCUCAAUAAGAUCUACGAAAAAGUCAAUGCGUGCGUAUCUGUCAAAUGUACGGUUAAAGGGUUAUUCCGCAUUUUUUGCCGAUCCGCACACAUUGGAAUGUGGCUAACUCCUCCUAAGGCUUUCGUUCCACCGGCACCACAUUUGCUCAGGCCAAUCUGCACCCCAUGGCCAUUAAAAGUUAUUCAAAUCAUGACGCUGCACCCCACGGUUUAGGUUCUAGGGGGCGCCAAAGAUAACCCUAAAAUCCACAUAUUUAAAAGUCUUAUAACUUUUUAUUUUUGUCCUCACUGGCCUCCAAGUUUUCUAGGAUGAUGCAAUGUCCAGCCAUCAACACAUUUGUGAAGGAAUUUUUUCUCCCCAAAAGAGCGCCCCCCCAUGGCAGGAGAAAAAGUCAAGUUUUUCCUGCCCAUCGCUCAAUGGCUCAAACGCAUCGCUCUCUCGGCAAAACCGAAAGGAGGAGCAACUUGCCAUUUGGAUAUAUACUAGCUGUGUUUGUGCCCUCACUCAUGGUCCAGACUUUUUUCAAAAAGGACACGUAGUUUUUCUGCAGCGAGCGUUUUGGUAGAGACUGUGCCUCCCAUUCAUUAUAAUGGGAAAUGACCAAAGACAGUUGCGCACACCAUCUUUGGACCCUGACUGUGACGUCACAGUUUGAGAUACAAAUGUUAUUUGACCUCUGACCUUUAGUGGAGACCCUAACCUUUCAACGCGCAAAAGCGUUGGACACAAACUGGCGGGAAGAACCACAAACGCCGAUGAAGGAUAAGGGUCUUUGUAGUGAUGGGCGUUACCAGAGAGGGCGAUGGCCAGAGGAAGAGAAUGGGACGGGGAGGCGAUCGCGUUGGGGAGGGGGCGCGACACGGCUCGGGCCCGCCAGUGCCCCAACGGGGCCCUAGUUAUUUUUCCUCCCCUUUGAACUGGAAAAUGGCCCACUUCCCACCCGCGAAAACUCAUGAAAUUUGGCAGGACGACCGGGCCUGGUGAAAAAUUUGAUAUUCCGAAGUCGCCCAAACAAGAAAAUGCAAAAUGGCUCCAUAGCGCCCCCUAAGGUGAAAAUUCACACUAUUGACUGUCACGCCUGUACGCUUUGUCAAAAUGACACAAAAAUUGACACACACAUGUAUCUCAGUAAGAUCUACAAAAAAGUCAGUGCGGGCGUAUCUGUCAAAUGUACGGUUAAAGGGUUAUUUCGCAUUUUUUGCCGAUCCGCACACAUUGGAAUUUCGCUAACUCCUCCGAAGGCUUUCGUUCCACCGGCACCACAUUUGCUCAGGCCAAUCUACACCCCAUGGCCAUUCAAAGUUAUUCAAAUCAUGACGCUGCACCCCAAGGUUUAGGUUCUAGGGGGCGCCAAAGAUAACCCUAAGAUCCACAUAUUUAAAAGUCUUAUAACUUUUUAUUUUUGCCCUCACUGGCCUCCAAGUUUUCUAGGAUGAUGCAAUGUCCAGCCAUCAACACAUUUGUGAAGGAAUUUUUACUCCCCAAAAGAGCGCCCCCCCAUGGCAGGAGAAAAAAGUCCAUUUUUUCUUGUCCCCUAAGGUGAAAAUACACAUUGUUGAGUGUAACACCUGUACGCUUUGGCAAAAUGACACAAAAAUUGACACACACAUGUAUCUCAAUAAGAUCUACGAAAAAGUCAAUGCGCGCGUAUCUGUCAAAAUUACGGUUAAAGGGUUAUUCCGCAUUUUUUGCCGAUCCGCACACAUUGGAAUUUCGCUAACUCCUCCGAAGGCUUUCGUUCCACCGGCACCACAUUUGCUCAGGCCAAUCUACACCCCAUGGCCAUUAAAAGUUAUUCAAAUCAUGACGCUGCAUCCCACGGUUUAGGUUCUAGGGGGCGCCAAAGAUAACCCUAAAAUCCACAUAUUUAAAAGUCUUAUAACUUUUUAUUUUUGUCCUCACUGGCCUCCAAGUUUUCUAGGAUGAUGCAAUGUCCAGCCAUCAACACAUUUGUGAAGGAAUUUUUACUCCCCAAAAGAGCGCCCCCCCAUGGCAGGAGAAAAAAGUCAAUUUUUUCUUGUCCCCUAAGGUGGAAAUUCACACUAUUGACUGUCACGCCUGUACGCUUUAUCAUAUUGACACAAAAAUUGACACACAUAUGUAUCUCAAUAAGAUCUACAAAAAAGUCAAUGCGUGCGUAUCUGUCAAAUGUACGGUUAAAGGGCUAUUUUGCAUUUUUUUGCAGAUUCGCACACAUUGGAAUGUGGCUGACUCCUCCUAAGGCUUUCGUCCCACUGACACCAAAUUUGCUCAGGCCAAUCUACACCCCAUGGCCAUUCAAAGUUGUAAAAAUCAUGACGCUGCACCCCACGGUUUACGUUCUAGGGGGCGCCAAAGAUGACCCAAAAAUCCACAUUCUUAAAAGAAUCCACAUCCCCCCCCCAUGGCAGGAGAAAAAGUCAAGUUUUUCCUGCCCAUCGCUCAAUGGCUCAAUCGCAUCGCUCUCCAGGCAACACCGUAAGGAGGAGCAACCUAACAUUUCGAUAUAUCAUAGCUGUGUUUGUGCCCUCACUCAUGGUCCAGACUUUUUUCAAAUAGGACAUGAAGUUUGUCUGCAGCGAGUGUUUUGGUAGAAACUGCGCCUCCCAUUCAUUAUAAUGGGAAAUGACCACAGACAAGUGCGCACACCAUCUUUGGUUCUUGAGUGUGACUCGAUCGGGACGGGGAGGCGGUCGCACUGGGGGCGGCGCGACGCGGCUCUGGCCCGACAGUGCCCCACCGGGGCCCUAGUUAGGGCCCGAGCGUAGCUGCUAAGCAGCUGCGAGAGCCCUCUUGUUCCUGCAUGUUUCCUUCUUUAGGGCCCGAGCCAGCUGCAGAGCAGCCGGGCGUAGGCCCUGUUAUUCCUGUAGGGGUUUUUCUUUGUUAGGGCCCGAGCGUAGCUGCUAAGCAGCUGCGAGAGCCCUCUUGUUCCUGAUGGAUUCUUCUUUUUAGGGCCCGAGCGUAGCUGCUAAGCAGCUGCGAGAGCCCUCUUGUUCCUGAUGGAUUCUUCUUUUUAGGGCCCGAGCCAGCUGCAGAGCAGCCGGGCGUAGGCCCUAUUAUUCCCCAAGUGGUUUUUCUUUGUUUCUUUAGGGCCCGAGCGUAGCUGCUAAGCAGCUGCGAGAGCCCUCUUGUUCCUGCAUGUUUCCUUCUUUUGUUAUUAUUAUUAUUAUUAUUUUUCCUCCCCUUUGAACUGGAAAAUGGCCCACUUCCCACUGGCGAAAACUCAUGAAAUUUGGCAGGACGACCGGGCCUGGUGAAAAAUUUGAUAUUCUGAAGUCGCCCAAACAAUAAAAUGCAAAAUGACUCCAUAGCGCCCCCUAAGGUGAAAAUUCACACUAUUGACUGUCACGCCUGUACGCUUUGUCAAAAUGACACAAAAAUUGACACACACAUGUAUCUCAAUAAGAUCUACAAAAAAGUCAGUGCGGGCGUAUCUGUCAAAUUUACGGUUAAAGGGUUAUUUCGCAUUUUUUGCCGAUCCGCACACAUUGGAAUUUCGCUAACUCCUCCGAAGGCUUUCGUUCCACCGGCACCACAUUUGCUCAGGCCAAUCUACACCCCAUGGCCAUUAAAAGUUAUUCAAAUCAUGACGCUGCACCCGAAGGUUUAGGUUCUAGGGGGCGCCAAAGAUAACACUAAAAUCCACAUAUUUAAAAGUCUUAUAACUUUUUAUUUUUGCCCUCACUGGCCUCCAAGUUUUCUAGGAUGAUGCAAUGUCCAGCCAUCAACACAUUUGUGAAGGAAUUUUUAAUCCCCAAAAGAGCGCCCCCACAUGGCAGGAGAAAAAAGUCCAUUUUUUCUUGUCCCCUAAGGUGAAAAUACACAUUGUUGAGUGUCACGCCUGUACGCUUUGUCAUAUUGACACAAAAUUUGACACACACAUGUAUCUCAAUAAGAUCUACGAAAAAGUCAAUGCACGCGUAUCUGUCAAAUGUACGGUUAAAGGGUUAUUCCGCAUUUUUUGCUGAUCCGCACACAUUGGAAUUUCGCUAACUCCUCCUAAGGCUGGCGUUCCACCGGCACCACAUUUGCUCAGGCCAAUCUACACCCCAUGGCCAUUAAAAGUUAUUCAAAUCAUGACGCUGCACCCCAGGGUUUAGGUUCUAGGGGGCGCCAAAGAUAACCCUAAAAUCCACAUAUUUCAAAGUCUUAUAACUUUUUAUUUUUGUCCUCACUGGCCUCCAAGUUUUCUAGGAUGAUGCAAUGUCCAGCCAUCAACACAUUUGUGAAGGAAUUUUUACUCCCCAAAAGAGCGCCCCCCCAUGGCAGGAGAAAAAAGUCCAUUUUUUCUUGUCCCAUAAGGUGAAAAAACACAUUGUUGACUGUCAUACCUGUACGCUUUGUCAUAUUGACACAAAAUUUGACAAUCAUGUGUAUCUCAAUUAGAUCUACGAAAAAGUCAAAGAGCGCGUAUCUGUAUAAUGUACGGUUAAAGGGCUAUUUUGCAUUUUUUGCCGAUUCGCACACAUUGGAAUGUGGCUAUCUCCUCCUAAGGCUUUCGUCCCACCGAUACCAAAUUUGCUCAGGGCAAUCUACACCCCAUGCCCAUUCAAAGUUGUAAAAAUCAUGACGCUGCACCCCACGGUUUACGUUCUAGGGGGCGCCAAAGAUGACCCAAAAAUCCACAUUCUUAAAAGUCAUUUUGGCCAUUGCAGGAGUACAGAGUACUGCAGUUCUAGGGGGCGCCAAAGAUGACCCAAAAAUCCACAUUCUUAAAAGUCUUUUUGGCCACUGCAGGAGUACAGAGUACUGCAGGAUACACACACAUAUACCCCCACGCCAACAUACACACACACACACACACACACACACACACACACACACACACUCAGAGUCUGUUUUUUAGCACCUGCAAAAACAUGCUGUUACAUAUUUGACAAGAAUGCAGAGGCUUCCUUUUGCCCCUGAAAAAAAUCAAAUUUCAAACACAACUUGACUGUUCAUUUCUCCAAAAGACAACCAUGAAGCUCCAUUUCAAACCUGAAGCAGAUAGUUGGUGCAUGUGUACAGUAACCUGAGGGGAGUGAGGUGACUAUUUCUGAGGAGAACAUGAGCAGUGAAGAUUCACCUUGGAGCUAGAACAGAGACAUGCACAUGAUUAUACAGGGGCAGGGGCUCAAGUUUUUUCCAGUCGUUUAUACAAUAUGGAAAUUAAUGUGAAAUUAAAACACAAAGUAUUAAUAGAAAGGUAAUGACUGUCCUGUGUAGGUGACAGUGAUAUCCAAUAGGCUAGGCACUCACGAGGCUGGCUGUGGCAAGUGUAAGUGAAAGCAACACGCACUGGCAGGAAGAACAGCAAACGCCGAUGAAGGAAAAGGGUCUUUGCAGUGAUGGGCGUUACCAGAGAGGGCGAUGGCCAGAGGACACAAAUGGGACGGGGAGGCAGCACGUUGGGGGGGGGGGGGGGCGACACGGCUCGGGCCCGCCAGUGCCCCAACGGGGUCCUAGUUUGUUAUUAUUAUUAUUAGGGCCCGAGCGUAGCUGCUAAGCAGCUGCGAGAGCCCUAUUAUUCCCCAAGUGGUUUUUCUUUGUUUCUUUCUUUCUUUCUUUCUUUAGGGCCCGAGCGUAGCUGCUAAGCAGCUGCGAGAGCCCUCUUGUUCCUGCAUGUUUCCUUCUUUUGUUAUUAUUAUUAUUUUUCCUCCCCUUUGAACUGGAAAAUGGCCCACUUCCCACUGGCGAAAACUCAUGAAAUUUGGCAGGACGACCGGGCCUGGUGAAAAAUUUGAUAUUCCGAAGUCGCCCAAACAAGAAAAUGCAAAAUGGCUCCAUAGCGCCCCCUAAGGUGAAAAUUCACACUAUUGACUGUCACGCCUGUACGCUUUGUCAAAAUGACACAAAAAUUGACACACACAUGUAUCUCAAUAAGAUCUACAAAAAAGUCAGUGCGGGCGUAUCUGUCAAAUGUACGGUUAAAGGGUUAUUUCGCAUUUUUUGCCGAUCCACACACAUUGGAAUUUCGCUAACUCCUCCGAAGGCUUUCGUUCCACCGGCACCACAUUUGCUCAGGCCAAUCUACACCCCAUGGCCAUUAAAAGUUAUUCAAAUCAUGACGCUGCACCCCACGGUUUAGGUUCUAGGGGGCGCCAAAGAUAACCCUAAGAUCCACAUAUUUAAAAGUCUUAUAACUUUUUAUUUUUGCCCUCACUGGCCUCCAAGUUUUCUAGGAUGAUGCAAUGUCCAGCCAUCAACACAUUUGUGAAGGAAUUUUUACUCCCCAAAAGAGCGCCCCCCCAUGGCAGGAGAAAAAAGUCAAUUUUUUCUUGUCCCCUAAGGUGGAAAUUCACACUAUUGACUGUCACGCCUGUACGCUUUAUCAUAUUGACACAAAAAUUGACACACAUAUGUAUCUCAAUAAGAUCUACAAAAAAGUCAAUGCGCGUGUAUCUGUCAAAUGUACGGUUAAAGGGCUAUUUUGCAUUUUUUGCCGAUUCGCACACAUUGGAAUGUGGCUAACUCCUCCUAAGGCUUUCGUCCCACUGACACCAAAUUUGCUCAGGCCAAUCUACACCCCAUGGCCAUUCAAAGUUGUAAAAAUCAUGACGCUGCACCCCACGGUUUACGUUCUAGGGGGCGCCAAAGAUGACCCAAAAAUCCACAUUCUUAAAGGAAUCCACAUCCCCCCCCAAGGCAGGAGAAAAAGUCAAGUUAACCCUGCCCAUCGCUCAAUGGCUCAAUCGCAUCGCUCUCCAGGCAACACCGUAAGGAGGAGCAACCUGCCAUUUCGAUAUAUCAUAGCUGUGUUUGUGCCCUCACUCAUGGUCCAGACUUUUUUCAAAUAGGACAUGAAGUUUGUCUGCAGCGAGCGUUUUGGUAGAAACUGCGCCUCCCAUUCAUUAUAAUGGGAAAUGACCACAGACAAGUGCGCACACCAUCUUUGGACCUUGAGUGUGACGCGAUCGGGAGGGGGAGGCGGUCGCGCUAGGGGCGGCGCGACGCGGCUCGGGCCCGACAGUGCCCCACCGGGGCCCUAGUUAGGGCCCGAGCGUAGCUGCUAAGCAGCUGCGAGAGCCCUAUUAUUCCCCAAGGGGUUUUUCUUUGUUUCUUUUUUCUUUUUCCUCCCCUUUGAACUGGAAAAUGGCCCACUUCCCACUAGCGAAAACUCAUGAAAUUUGGCAGGACGACCGGGCCUGGUGAAAAAUUUGAUAUUCUGAAGUCGCCCAAACAAGAAAAUGCAAAAUGGCUCCAUAGCGCCCCCUAAGGUGAAAAUUCACACUAUUGAGUGUCACGCCUGUACGCUUUGUCAAAAUGACACAAAAUUUGACACACACAUGUAUCUCAAUAAGAUCUACAAAAAAGUCAGUGCGGGCGUAUCUGUCAAAUGUACGGUUAAAGGGUUAUUUCGCAUUUUUUGCCGAUCCGCACACAUUGGAAUUUCGCUAACUCCUCCGAAGGCUUUCGUUCCACCGGCACCACAUUUGCUCAGGCCAAUCUACACCCCAUGGCCAUUAAAAGUUAUUCAAAUCAUGACGCUGCACCCCACGGUUUAGGUUCUAGGGGGCGCCAAAGAUAACCCUAAAAUCCACAUAUUUAAAAGUCUUAUAACCUUUUAUUUUUGCCCUCACUGGCCUCCAAGUUUUCUAGGAUGAUGCAAUGUCCAGCCAUCAACACAUUUGUGAAGGAAUUUUUACUCCCCAAAAGAGCGCCCCCCAUGGCAGGAGAAAAAAGUCCAUUUUUUCUUGUCCCCUAAGGUGAAAAUACACAUUGUUGAGUGUCACGCCUGUACGCUUUGUCAAAAUGACACAAAAAUUGACACACACAUGUAUCUCAAUAAGAUCUACAAAAAAGUCCACGCGCGCGUAUCUGUCAAAUGUACGGUUAAAGGGUUAUUCCGCAUUUUUUGCCGAUUCGCACACAUUGGAAUUUCGCUAACUCCUCCGAAGGCUUUCGUUCCACCGGCACCACAUUUGCUCAGGCCAAUCUACACCCCAUGGCCAUUAAAAGUUAUUCAAAUCAUGACGCUGCACCCCACGGUUUAGGUUCUAGGGGGCGCCAAAGAUAACCCUAAAAUCCACAUAUUUAAAAGUCUUAUAACCUUUUAUUUUUGCCCUAACUGGCCUCCAAGUUUUCUAGGAUGAUGCAAUGUCCAGCCAUCAACACAUUUGUGAAGGAAUUUUUACUCCCCAAAAGAGCGCCCCCCAUGGCAGGAGAAAAAAGUCCAUUUUUUCUUGUCCCCUAAGGUGAAAAUACACAUUGUUGAGUGUCACGCCUGUACGCUUUGUCAAAAUGACACAAAAAUUGACACACACAUGUAUCUCAAUAAGAUCUACAAAAAAGUCCACGCGCGCGUAUCUGUCAAAUGUACGGUUAAAGGGUUAUUCCGCAUUUUUUGCCGAUUCGCACACAUUGGAAUUUCGCUAACUCCUCCGAAGGCUUUCGUUCCACCGGCACCACAUUUGCUCAGGCCAAUCUACACCCCAUGGCCAUUAAAAGUUAUUCAAAUCAUGACGCUGCACCCCACGGUUUACGUUCUAGGGGGCGCCAAAGAUGACCCAAAUAUCCACAUUCUUAAAAGAAUCCACACCCCCCAUCCCCCAUCCCCCAUGGCAGGAGAAACAGUCAAGUUUUUCCUGCCCAUCACUCAAUGGCUCAAUCGCAUCGCUCUUCCGGCAACACCGUAACGAGGAGCAACUUGCCGUUUGGAUAUAUCCUAGCUGUGUUUGUGCCCUCACUCAUGGUCCAGACUUUUUUCAAAUAGGACAUGUAGUUUGUCUGCAGCGAGUGUUUUGGUAGAAACUGCGCCUCCCAUUCAUUAUAAUGGGAAAUGACCACAGACAAGUGCGCACACCAUCUUUGGACCUUGAGUGUGACGCGAUCGGGGGGAGGCGGUCGCGCUGGGGGCGGCGCGACGCGGCUCGGGCCCGACAGUGCCCCACCGGGGCCCUAGUUCUUUCUUUCUUUCUUCUUUUUCCUCCCCUUUGAACUGGAAAAUGGCCCACUUCCCACUGGCGAAAACUCAUGAAAUUUGGCAGGACGACCGGGCCUGGUGAAAAAUUCGAUAUUCUGAAGUCGCCCAAACAAUAAAAUGCAAAAUGGCUCCAUAGCGCCCCCUAAGGUGGAAAUUCACACUAUUGACUGUCACGCCUGUACGCUUUGUCAUAUUGACACAAAAAUUGACACACAUAUGUAUCUUAAUAAGAUCUACAAAAAAGUCAGUGCGGGCGUAUCUGUCAAAAUUACGGUUAAAGGGUUAUUUUGCAUUUUUUGCCGAUCCGCACACAUUGGAAUUUCGCUAACUCCUCCGAAGGCUUUCAUUCCACCGGCACCACAUUUGCUCAGGCCAAUCUACACCCCGUGGCCAUUAAAAGUUAUCAAAAUCAUGACGCUGCACCCCAAGGUUUAGGUUCUAGGGGGCGCCAAAGAUAACACUAAAAUCCACAUAUUUAAAAGUCUUAUAACUUUUUAUUUUUGUCCUCACUGGCCUCCAAGUUUUCUAGGAUGAUGCAAUGUCCAGCCAUCAACACAUUUGUGAAGGAAUUUUUACUCCCCAAAAGAGCGCCCCCCCAUGGCAGAAGAAAAAAGUCCAUUUUUUCUUGUCCCCUAAGGUGAAAAUACACAUUGUUGAGUGUCACGCCUAUACGCUUUGUCAAAAUGACACAAAAAUUGACACACACAUGUAACUCAAUAAGAUCUACGAAAAAGUCAAUGCGCGCGUAUCUGUCAAAUGUACGGUUAAAGGGUUAUUUCGCAUUUUUUGCCGAUCCGCACACAUUGGAAUGUGGCUAACUCCUCCUAAGUCUUUCGUUCCACCGGCACCACAUUUGCUCAGGCCAAUCUACACCCCGUGGCCAUUAAAAGUUAUCAAAAUCAUGACGCUGCACCCCAAGGUUUAGGUUCUAGGGGGCGCCAAAGAUAACACUAAAAUCCACAUAUUUAAAAGUCUUAUAACUUUUUAUUUUUGUCCUCACUGGCCUCCAAGUUUUCUAGGAUGAUGCAAUGUCCAGCCAUCAACACAUUUGUGAAGGAAUUUUUACUCCCCAAAACAGCGCCCCCCCAUGGCAGAAGAAAAAAGUCCAUUUUUUCUUGUCCCCUAAGGUGAAAAUUCACACUAUUGACUGUCAGGCCUGUACGCUUUGUCAUAUUGACACAAAAAUUGACACACACAUGUAUCUCAAUAAGAUCUACGAAAAAGUCAAUGCCGCGUAUCUGUCAAAUGUACGGUUAAAGGGUUAUUUCGCAUUUUUUGCCGAUGCGCACACAUUGGAAUUUCGCUAACUCCUCCUAAGGCUUUCGUUCCACCGGCACCACAUUUGCUCAGGCCAAUCUACACCCCAUGGCCAUUGAAAGUUAUUCAAAUCAUGAUGCUGCACCCCACGGUUUAGGUUCUAGGGGGCGCCAAAUAUAACCCUAAAUCCACAUAUUUAAAAGUCUUAUAACUUUUUAUUUUUGUCCUCACUGGCCUCCAAGUUCUCUAGGAUGAUGCAAUGUCCAGCCAUCAACACAUUUGUGAAGGAAUUUUUACUCCCCAAAAGAGCGCCCCCCAUGGCAGGAGAAAAAAGUCAAUUUUUUCUUGUCCCCUAAGGUGAAAAUACACAUUGUUGAGUGUCACGCCUGUACGCUUUGUCAUAUUGACACAAAAUUUGACAAUCACGUGUGUCUCAAUAACAUCUACGAAAAAGUCAAUGCACGCGUAUCUGUCAAAUGUACGGUUAAAGGGCUAUUUUGCAUUUUUUGCCGAUUCGCACACAUUGGAAUGUGGCUAACUCCUCCUAAGGCUUUCAUCCCACUGACACCAAAUUUGCUCAGGCCAAUCUACACCCCAUGGCCAUUAAAAGUUGUAAAAAUCAUGACGGUGCACCCCACGGUUUACGUUCUAGGGGGCGCCAAAGAUGACCCAAAUAUCCACAUUCUUAAAACAAUCCACAUCUCCCCCCCCCCCCCCCCAUCCCCCAUCCCCCAAGGCAGGAGAAACAGUCAAGUUUUUCCUGCCCAUCACUCAAUGGCUCAAUCGCAUCGCUCUCCCGGCAACACCGUAACGAGGAGCAACUUGCCGAUUGGAUAUAUCCUAGCUGUGUUUGUGCCCUCACUCAUGGUCCAGACUUUUUUCAAAUAGGAUAUGUAGUUUGUCUGCAGCGAGUGUUUUGGUAGAAACUGCGCCUCCCAUUCAUUAUAAUGGGAAAUGACCACAGACAAGUGCGCACACCAUCUUUGGACCUUGAGUGUGACGCGAUCGGGAGGGGGAGGUGGUCGCGCUGGGGGCGGCGCGACGCGGCUCGGGCCCGACAGUGCCCCACCGGGGCCCUAGUUAUUAUUUUUCCUCCCCUUUGAACUGGAAAAUGGCCCACUUCCCACUGGCGAAAACUCAUGAAAUUUGGCAGGACGACCGGGCCUGGUGAAAAAUUUGAUAUUCCGAAGUCGCCCAAACAAGAAAAUGCAAAAUGGCUCCAUAGCGCCCCCUAAGGUGAAAAUUCACACUAUUCACUGUCACGCCGGUACGCUUUGUCAAAAUGACACAAAAAUUGACACACACAUGUAUCUCAAUAAGAUCUACAAAAAAGUCAGUGCGGGCGUAUCUGUCAAAUGUACGGUUAAAGGGUUAUUUCGCAUUUUUUGCCGAUCCGCACACAUUGGAAUUUCGCUAACUCCUCCGAAGGCUUUCGUUCCACCGGCACCACAUUUGCUCAGGCCAAUCUACACCCCAUGGCCAUCAAAAGUUAUUCAAAUCAUGACGCUGUACCCCACGGUUUAGGUUCUAGGGGGCGCCAAAGAUAACCCUAAGAUCCACAUAUUUAAAAGUCUUAUAACUUUUUAUUUUUGCCCUCACUGGCCUCCAAGUUUUCUAGGAUGAUGCAAUGUCCAGCCAUCAACACAUUUGUGAAGGAAUUUUUACUCCCCAAAAGAGCGCCCCCCCAUGGCAGGAGAAAAAAGUCCAUUUUUUCUUGUCCCCUAAGGUGAAAAUACACAUUGUUGAGUGUAACACCUGUACGCUUUGGCAAAAUGACACAAAAAUUGACACACACAUGUAUCUCAAUAAGAUCUACGAAAAAGUCAAUGCGCGCGUAUCUGUCAAAUGUACGGUUAAAGGGUUAUUCCGCAUUUUUUGCCGAUCCGCACACAUUGGAAUUUCGCUAACUCCUCCGAAGGCUUUCCGUUCCACCGGCACCACAUUUGCUCAGGCCAAUCUACACCCCAUGGCCAUUAAAAGUUAUUCAAAUCAUGACGCUGCACCCCACGGUUUAGGUUCUAGGGGGAGCCAAAGAUAACCGUAAAAUCCACAUAUUUAAAAGUCUUAUAACUUUUUAUUUUUGUCCCCACUGGCCUCCAAGUUUUCUAGGAUGAUGCAAUGUCCAGCCAUCAACACAUUUGUGAAGGAAUUUUUACUCGGCAAAAGAGCGCCCCCCAUGGCAGGAGAAAAAAGUCAAUUUUUUCUUGUCCACUAAGGUGAAAAUACACAUUGUUGAGUGCUACGCCUGUAUGUUUUGUCGUAUUGACACAAAGUUUUACAUACACGUGUAUUUACAUAAGAUCUUCGAAAAAGUCAAUGGCCACGUAUCUGUAAAAUGUACGGUUAAAGGGUUAUUUCGCAUUUUUUGCAGAUUCGCACACAUUGGAAUUUCGCUAAUUCCUCCGAAGGCUUUCGUUCCACCGGCACCACAUUUGCUCAGGCCAAUCUACACCCCAUGGCCAUUAAAAGUUAUUCAAAUCAUGACGCUGCACCCCACGGUUUAGGUUCUAGGGGGCGCCAAAGAUAACCCUAAAAUCCACAUAUUUAAAAGUCUUAUAACUUUUUAUUUUUGUCCUCACUGGCCUCCAUGUUUUCUAGGAUGAUGCAAUGUCCAGCCAUCAACACAUUUGUGAAGGAGUUUUUUCUCUUUAAAAGAGCGCCCCCCAUGGCAGGAGAAUAAAGUCAAGUUUUUCCUGUUCAUCAUUCAAUGGCUCAAACGCACUGCUCUCUCGGCAAAAGCGAAAGGAGGAGCAACUUGCCAUUUGGAUAUAUCUUAGCUGUGUUUGUGCCCUCACUCAUGGUCCAGACUUUUUUCAAAUAGGACAUGGAGUUUUUCUGCAGCGAGCGUUUUGGUAGAAACUGCGCCUCCCGUUCAUUAUAAUGGUAAAUGACCACAAACAAGUGCGCACACCAUCUUUGGACCUUGAGUGUGACGCGAUCGGGUGGGGGAGGCGGUCGCGCUGGGGGCGGCGUGACACGGCUCGGGCCCGACAGUGCCCUACCGGGGCCCUAGUUAUUAUUUUUCCUCCCCUUUGAACUGGAAAAUGGCCCACUUCCCACUGGCGAAAACUCAUGAAAUUUGGCAGGACGACCGGGCCUGGUGAAAAAUUUGAUAUUCCGAAGUCGCCCAAACAAGAAAAUGCAAAAUGGCUCCAUAGCGCCCCCUAAGGUGAAAAUUCACACUAUUCACUGUCACGCCUGUACGCUUUGUCAAAAUGACACAAAAAUUGACACACACAUGUAUCUCAAUAAGAUCUACAAAAAAGUCAGUGCGGGCGUAUCUGUCAAAUGUACGGUUAAAGGGUUAUUUCGCAUUUUUUGCCGAUCCGCACACAUUGGAAUUUCGCUAACUCCUCCGAAGGCUUUCGUUCCACCGGCACCACAUUUGCUCAGGCCAAUCUACACCCCAUGGCCAUUAAAAGUUAUUCAAAUCAUGACGCUGCACCCCACGGUUAAGGUUCUAGGGGGCGCCAAAGAUAACCCUAAGAUCCACAUAUUUAAAAGUCUUAUAACUUUUUAUUUUUGCCCUCACUGGCCUCCAAGUUUUCUAGGAUGAUGCAAUGUCCAGCCAUCAACACAUUUGUGAAGGAAUUUUUACUCCCCAAAAGAGCGCCCCCCCAUGGCAGGAGAAAAAAGUCCAUUUUUUCUUGUCCCCUAAGGUGAAAAUACACAUUGUUGAGUGUAACACCUGUACGCUUUGGCAAAAUGACACAAAAAUUGACACACACAUGUAUCUCAAUAAGAUCUACGAAAAAGUUAGUGCGCGCGUAUCUGUCAAAUGUACGGUUAAAGGGUUAUUCCGCAUUUUUUGCCGAUCCGCACACAUUGGAAUUUCGCUAACUCCUCCGAAGGCUUUCUGUCCACCGGCACCACAUUUGCUCAGGCCAAUCUACACCCCAUGGCCAUUAAAAGUUAUUCAAAUCAUGACGCUGCACCCCACGGUUUAGGUUCUAGAGGGCGCCAAAGAUAACCCUAAAAUCCACAUAUUUCAAAGUCUUAUAACUUUUUAUUUUUGUCCUCACUGGCCUCCAAGUUUUCUAGGAUGAUGCAAUGUCCAGCCAUCAACACAUUUGUGAAGGAAUUUUUACUCCCCAAAAGAGCGCCCCCCCAUGGCAGGAGAAAAAAGUCCAUUUUUUCUUGUCCCCUUAGGUGAAAAUUCACAUUGUUGAGUGUGACACCUGUACGCUUUGUCAUAUUGACACAAAAUUUGACAAUCACGUGUAUCUCAAUAAGAUCUACGAAAAAGUCAAUGCGCGCGUAUCUGUCAAAUGUACGGUUAAAGGGCUAUUUUGCAUUUUUUGCCGAUUCGCACACAUUGGAAUGUGGCUAACUCCUCCUAAGGCUUUCGUCCCACUGACACCAAAUUUGCUCAGGCCAAUCUACACCCCAUGGCCAUUCAAAGUUGUAAAAAUCAUGACGCUGCACCCCACGGUUUACAUUCUAGGGGGCGCCAAAGAUGACCCAAAUAUCCACAUUCUUAAAAGAAUCCACAUCCCCCCCACAUCCCCCAUCCCCCAUGGCAGGAGAAACAGUCAAGUUUUUCCUGCCCAUCACUCAAUGGCUCAAUCGCAUCGCUCUCCCGGCAACACCGUAACGAGGAGCAACUUGCCGUUUGGAUAUAUCCUAGCUGUGUUUGUGCCCUCACUCAUGGUCCAGACUUUUUUCAAAUAGGACAUGUAGUUUGUCUGCAGCGAGUGUUUUGGUAGAAACUGCGCCUCCCAUUCAUUAAAAUGGGAAAUGACCACAGACAUGUGCGCACACCAUCUUUGGACCUUGAGUGUGACGCGAUCGGGAGGGGGAGGUGGUCGCGCUGGGGGCGGCGCGACGCGGCUCGGGCCCGACAGUGCCCCACCGGGGCCCUAGUCUUUGUUUCUUUCUUUCUUUCUUUAGGGCCCGAGCCAGCUGCAGAGCAGCCGGGCGUAGGCCCUAUUAUUCCCCAAGUGGUUUUUCUUUGUUUCUUUCUUUCUUUUUAGGGCCCGAGCGUAGCUGCUAAGCAGCUGCGAGAGCCCUAUUAUUCCCCAAGUGGUUUUUCUUUGUUUCUUUCUUUCUUUUUUCUUUUUCCUCCCCUUUGAACUGGAAAAUGGCCCACUUCCCACUGGCAAAAACUCAUGAAAUUUGGCAGGACAACCGGGCCUGGUGAAAAAUUCGAUAUUCUGAAGUCGCCCAAACAAUAAAAUGCAAAAUGGCUCCAUAGCGCCCCCUAAGGUGGAAAUUCACACUAUUGACUGUCACGCCUGUACGCUUUGUCAUAUUGACACAAAAAUUGACACACAUAUGUAUCUCAAUAAGAUCUACAAAAAAGUCAGUGCGGCCGUAUCUGUCAAAAUUACGGUUAAAGGGUUAUUUCGCAUUUUUUGCCGAUCCGCACACAUUGGAAUUUCGCUAACUCCUCCGAAGGCUUUCGUUCCACCGGCACCACAUUUGCUCAGGCCAAUCUACACCCCGUGGCCAUUAAAAGUUAUCAAAAUCAUGACGCUGCACCCCAAGGUUUAGGUUCUAGGGGGCGCCAAAGAUAACACUAAAAUCCACAUAUUUAAAAGUCUUAUAACUUUUUAUUUUUGUCCUCACUGGCCUCCAAGUUUUCUAGGAUGAUGCAAUGUCCAGCCAUCAACACAUUUGUGAAGGAAUUUUUACUCCCCAAAAGAGCACCCCCCCAUGGCAGGAGAAAAAAGUCCAUUUUUUCUUGUCCCCUAAGGUGAAAAUACACAUUGUUGAGUGUCACGCCUAUACGCUUUGUCAAAAUGACACAAAAAUUGACACACACAUGUAACUCAAUAAGAUCUACAAAAAAGUCAAUGCGCGCGUAUCUGUCAAAUGUACGGUUAAAGGGUUAUUCCGCAUUUUUUGCCGAUACGCACACAUUGGAAUUUCGCUAACUCCUCCGAAGGCUUUCGUUCCACCGGCACCACAUUUGCUCAGGCCAAUCUACACCCCAUGGCCAUUAAAAGUUAUUCAAAUCAUGAUGCUGCACCCCAUGGUUUAGGUUCUAGGGGGCGCCAAAAAUAACCCAAAAAUCCACAUUCUUAAAUGUUUUAUAACUUUUUAUUUUUGUCCUCACUGGCCUCCAAGUUUUCUAGGAUGAUGCAAUGUCCAGCCAUCAACACAUUUGUGAAGGAAUUUUUACUCCCCAAAAGAGCGCCCCCCCCAUGGCAGGAGAAAAAAGUCCAUUUUUUCUUGUCCCAUAAGGUGAAAAAACACAUUGUUGACUGUCAUACCUGUACGCUUUGUCAUAUUGACACAAAAUUUGACAAUCACAUGUAUCUCAAUAAGAUCUACGAAAAAGUCAAUGCGCGCGUAUCUGUAAAAUGUACGGUUAAAGGGCUAUUUUGCAUUUUUUGCCGAUUCGCACACAUUGGAAUGUGGCUAACUCCUCCUAAGGCUUUCGUCCCACUGACACCAAAUUUGCUCAGGCCAAUCUACACCCCAUGGCCAUUCAAAGUUGUAAAAAUCAUGACGCUGCACCCCACGGUUUACGUUCUAGGGGGCGCCAAAGAUGACCCAAAUAUCCACAUUCUUAAAAGAAUCCACAUCCCCCCCCCAUCCCCCAUCCCCCAUGGCAGGAGAAACAGUCAAGUUUUUCCUGCCCAUCACUCAAUGGCUCAAUCGCAUCACUCUCCCGGCAACACCGUAACGAGGAGCAACUUGCCGUUUGGAUAUAUCCUAGCUGUGUUUGUGCCCUCACUCAUGGUCCAGACUUUUUUCAAAUAGGACAUGUAGUUUGUCUGCAGCGAGUGUUUUGGUAGAAACUGCGCCUCCCAUUCAUUAUAAUGGUAAAUGACCACAGACAAGUGCGCACACCAUCUUUGGACCUUGAGUGUGACGCGAUCGGGAGGGGGAGGCGGUCGCGCUGGGGGCGGCGCAACGCGGCUCGGGCCCGACAGUGCCCCACCGGGGUCCUAGUUUCUUUUUCCUCCCCUUUGAACUGGAAAAUGGCCCACUUCCCACUGGCGAAAACUCAUGAAAUUUGGCAGGACGACCGGGCCUGGUGAAAAAUUUGAUAUUCUGAAGUCGCCCAAACAAUAAAAUGCAAAAUGGCUCCAUAGCGCCCCCUAAGGUGAAAAUUCACACUAUUGACUGUCACGCCUGUACGCUUUGUCAUAUUGACACAAAAAUUGACACACAUAUGUAUCUCAAUAAGAUCUACAAAAAAGUCAGUGCGGCCGUAUCUGUCAAAAUUACGGUUAAAGGGUUAUUUCGCAUUUUUUGCCGAUCCGCACACAUUGGAAUUUCGCUAACUCCUCCGAAGGCUUUCGUUCCACCGGCACCACAUUUGCUCAGGCCAAUCUACACCCCGUGGCCAUUAAAAGUUAUCAAAAUCAUGACGCUGCACCCCAAGGUUUAGGUUCUAGGGGGCGCCAAAGAUAACACUAAAAUCCACAUAUUUAAAAGUCUUAUAACUUUUUAUUUUUGUCCUCACUGGCCUCCAAGUUUUCUAGGAUGAUGCAAUGUCCAGCCAUCAACACAUUUGUGAAGGAAUUUUUACUCCCCAAAAGAGCGCCCCCCCAUGGCAGGAGAAAAAAGUCCAUUUUUUCUUGUCCCCUAAGGUGAAAAUACACAUUGUUGAGUGUCACGCCUAUACGCUUUGUCAAAAUGACACAAAAAUUGACACACACAUGUAACUCAAUAAGAUCUACGAAAAAGUCAAUGCGCGCGUAUCUGUCAAAUGUACGGUUAAAGGGUUAUUCCGCAUUUUUUGCCGAUCUGCACACAUUGGAAUUUCGCUUACUCCUCCUAAGGCUUUCGUUCCACCGGCACCACAUUUGCUCAGGCCAAUCUACACCCCAUGGCCAUUAAAAGUUAUCAAAAUCAUGACGCUGCACCCCACGGUUUAGGUUCUAGGGGGCGCCAAAGAUAACCCUAAAAUCCACAUAUUUAAAAGUCUUAUAACUUUUUAUUUUUGUCCUCACUGGCCUCCAAGUUUUCUAGGAUGAUGCAAUGUCCAGCCAUCAACACAUUUGUGAAGGAAUUUUUACUCCCCAAAAGAGCGCCCCCCAAAGGCAGGAGAAAAAAGUCCAUUUUUUCUUGUCCUCUAAGGUGAAAAUAAAUAUUGUUGAGAUUCACGCCUAUACGCUUUGUCAUAUUGACACAAAAUUUGACAAUCACGUGCCUUGCCUGGUAUCAUUUUUUUCAGCACAACCUCACCUGUGCGAAUUUACAGUUAUUUUAUCAUGUUGACAUACUGAAUUUACACAAUGGACCCAAAUUCACACACAAAACAUAAAAUCUGAGUGGAAAAAAGUAACAUUUUUACUGUGAAAACCACAAAUAUGUGUGAUGAACUGUUUUUAAAACUUAAACUUCAAAUAAAAAUUGUAAACUUCAAAACAUAUGCAAAUUUUUAACAAAGAACAUAGUGAUUUACCUCUAUUUACAUCAAAAUGCAGGCAAUGGCCCAGGCGUUCUUUGUAAAAUUAUUUACAAAACACUGUAUAGUCUCACAAAUGUCACUUUUUAUUUAUGCCACUACAAAAAAACAUGAUGUAAAUGAUGCAUGAUGUAAAACAUGAUGUAAAAAACUUGUGUAGAUCCUCCUCUAUGUCAGUCCAUGUGUAAUUUUUCCAUAAUUCUUUGUUUUUUGCAGCAUUUUUGUUAGUGUAACUGCAGAUUGUGCUGACAGUGUCUAUGGCACAAAAAAAAAAAAAAAUUAAAAUGCCUCAACAUGAACCCCUGGUGGUCUCUGAGGGUGAAACCUGCUAACUGCUGCAGCUCUGUCAGCUUCAGUCUCCCAUGCAGAGCUCUGAGCGCAUGUGUGGCUCUGCACCCUUAGCAGCGUUGCUAACUCCUCAGUAAGGAAAGCCUGCUUCAUGUCAGAGUCUCUAAACUCCAGAAGAAGUCGAUAAAAGUCCCUUUCUUUCUAAAAAAAGUCGUUAGGGGGUCUGAAAAGUCAUUGAAUCUAACAACAAAGUCGGUAGGUUUGCAACUACGUGUCCCAGACUGCAUCCCUGCUGAGAGUCCCUCCCUCCCUUCUCAUGUUGCAGGAAGAACGUAAGCGCCCGCCCCUUGUCAAUCAGUCACCAUAUAAUUUUGGAUUGGUUGUUGUGGUGAAGUUUUCCACCAAUAGGAGAGAUGUUGUGGUGUGUUUUUUUUUUCUUUUGGCAAGCCUUUUCCGCCUGUAAGAGCUGUCGCUAAUGUCUGCAUGCUAUGUUUUCCUGUCUCAUACAGCGCGAUCGAGCGCCGAACGUGAUCAAAAUAAGCAGAAAAAAAGUAUCGCGGACAUAAUUUAUCAUAACUCUGGUUUUAUUUGGCCUAUCAACACAAUUUAUAAACUGGUAUAUAGGUUGAGGUCCUCACUUUUGAGAUAAGUUGAAACGGAGAGUCAACGAGGCUCCGUCUUGCAGCUACAUCCGGUUAAAUAUGUCAUGUGACUUGAACUCACACACAGACACACACACACGCACACACACACACACACACACACACACACACACACACUCAGAGUCUGGUUUUUAGCACCUGCAAAAACAUGCUAUUUACAUAUUUGACAAGAAUGCAGAGGCUCCUUUUGCCCCUGAAAAAAAUCAAAUUUCAAACACAACUUGACUGGUCAUUUCUCCAAAAGACAACCAUGAAGCUCCAUCCAAACCUGAAGCAGGCAGUUGGUGCAUGUGUACAGUAACCUGAGGGGAGUGAGGUGAGUGCUUCUGAGGAGAACAUGAGCAGUGAAGAUUCACCUUGGAGCUAGAACAGAGACAUGCACAUGAUUAUACAGGGGCAGGGGCUCAAGUUUUUUCCAGUCGUGUAUACAAUAUGGAAAUUAAUGUGAAAUUAAAACACAAAGUAUUAAUAGAAAGGUAAUGACUGUCCUGUGUAGGUGACAGUGAUAUCCAAUAGGCUAGGCACUCACGAGGCUGGCUGUGGCAAGUGUAAGUGAAAGCAACACGCACUGGCAGGAAGAACAGCAAACGCCGAUGAAGAAAAAGGGUCUUUGCAGUGAUGGGCGUUACCAGAGAGGGCGAUGGCCAGAGGACACAAAUGGGACGGGGAGGCAGCACGUUGGGGGGGGGGGGGACGCGACACGGCUCGGGCCCGCCAGUGCCCCAACGGGGUCCUAGUUCUUUAGGGCCCGAGCCAGCUGCAGAGCAGCCGGGCGUAGGCCCUAUUAUUCCCCAAGUGGUUUUUUAGGGCCCGAGCCAGCUGCAGAGCAGCCGGGCGUAGAGCCCUAUUAUUCCUGUAUAGGUUUUUCUUUCUUCUUUCUUUCUUUCUUUCUUCUUAUUUUUCCUCCCCUUUGAAUGGGAAAAUGGCCCACUUCCCACUGGCGAAAACUCAUGAAAUUUGGCAGGACGACCGGGCCUGGUGAAAAAUUCGAUAUUCUGAAGUCGCCCAAACAAUAAAAUGCAAAAUGGCUCCAUAGCGCCCCCUAAGGCGAAAAUUCACACUAUUGACUGUCACGCCUGUACGCUUUGUCAUAUUGACACAAAAAUUGACACACACGUGUAUCUCAAUACGGUCUACGAAAAAGUCAGCACGGGCGUGUCUGUCAAAUGUACGGUUAGAGGGUUAUUUCGCAUUUUUUGCCGAUCUGCACACAUUGGAAUUUCGCUAACUCCUCCGAAGGCAUUCGUUCCACCGGCACCACAUUUGCUCAGGCCAAUCUACACCCCAUGGCCAUUAAAAGUUGUACAAAUCAUGACGCUGCACCCCACGGUUUACGUUCUAGGGGGCGCCAAAGAUAACCCAAAAAUCCACAGUCUUAAAAGUCUUAUAACUUUUUAUUUUUGUCCUUACUGGCCUCCAAGUUCUCUAGGAUGAUGCAAUGUCCAGCCAUCAACACAUUUGUGAAGGAAUUUUUACUCCCCAAAAGAGCGCCCCCACAUGGCAGGAGAAAAAAGUCCAUUUUUUCUUGUCCCCUAAGGUGAAAAUACACAUUGUUGAGUGUCACGCCUAUACGCUUUGUCAUAUUGACCCAAAAUUUGAGAAUCACGUGUAUCUCAAUAAGAUCUACGAAAAAGUCAAUGGGCACGUAUCUGUAAAAUGUACGGUUAAAGGGUUAUUCCGCAUUUUUUGCCGAUUCGCACACAUUGGAAUUUCGCUAACUCCUCCGAAGGCUUUAGGUCCACCGCCACCAAAUUUGCUCAGGCCAAUCUACACCCCAUGGCCAUUAAAAGUUGUACAAAUCAUGACGCUGCACUCCACGGUUUAGGUUCUAGGGGGCGCCAAAGAUAACCCAAAAGUCCACAUUCUUAAUAGUCUUAUAACUUUUUAUUUUUGUCCUCACUGGCCUCCAAGUUUUCUAGGAUGAUGCAAUGUCCAGCCAUCAACACAUUUGUAAAGGAAUUUUUACUCCCGAAAAGAGCGCCCCCCCAUGGCAGGAGAAAAAAGUCCAUUUUUUCUUGUCCCCUAAGGUGAAAAAACACAUUGUUGACUGUCACGCCUAUACGCUUUGUCAAAAUGACACAAAAUUUGACACACACGUGUAUCUCAAUAAGAUCUACGAAAAAGUCAAUGGGCACGUAUCUGUAAAAUGUACGGUUAAAGGGCUAUUUCGCAUUUUUUGCCGAUUCGCACACAUUGGAAUGUGGCUAACUCCUCCUAAGGCUUUCUUCCCACCGACACCAAAUUUGCUCAAGCCGAUCUACAUCCCAUGGCCAUUCAAAGUUGUAAAAAUCAUGCCGCUGCACCCCAUGGUUUACGUUCUAGGGGGCGCCAAAGAUGACCCAAAUAUCCACAUUCUUAAAAGAAUCCACAUCCCCCCCCCCAUGGCAGGAGAAAAAGUCCAGUUAACCCUGCCCAUCGCUCAAUGGCUCAAUCGCAUCGCUCUCCUGGCAACACCGUAAGGAGGAGCAACUUGCCAUUUGGAUAUAUCCUAGCUGUGUUUGUGCCCUCACUCAUGGUCCAGACUUUUUUCAAAUAGGACAUGUAGUUUGUCUGCAGCGACCGUUUUGGUAGAAACUGCGCCUCCCAUUCAUUAUAAUGGGAAAUGACCACAGACAAGUGCGCACACCAUCUUUGGACCUUGAGUGUGAUGCGAUCGGGAGGGGGAGGCGGUCGCGCUGGGGGCGGCGCGACACGGCUCGGGCCCGACAGUGCCCCACCGGGGCCCUAGUUAUUUUUCUGCCCCUUUGAACUGGAAAAUGGCCCACUUCCCACUGGUGAAAACUCAUGAAAUUUGGCAGGACGACCGGGCCUGGUGAAAAAUUCGAUAUUCUGAAGUCAUCCAAACAAUCAAAUGCAAAAUGGCUCCAUAGCGCCCCCUAAGGUGAAAAAUUCACAUGAUUGAGUGUCACGCCUGUACGCUUUGUCAAAAUGACACAAAAUUUGACACACACGUGUAUCUCAAUAAGAUCUACAAAAAAGUCAGUGCGGGCGUAUCUGUCAAAUGUACGGUUAAAGGGUUAUUUCGCAUUUUUUGCCGAUCCGCACACAUUGGAAUUUCGCUAACUCCUCCGAAGGCUUUCGUUCCACCGGCACCACAUUUGCUCAGGCCAAUCUACACCCCAUGGCCAUUAAAAGUUGUACAAAUCAUGACGCUGCACCCCACGGUUUACGUUCUAGGGGGCGCCAAAGAUAACCCAAAAAUCCACAGUCUUAAAAGUCUUAUAACUUUUUAUUUUUGUCCUCACUGGCCUCCAAGUUCUCUAGGAUGAUGCAAUGUCCAGCCAUCAACACAUUUGUGAAGGAAUUUUUACUCGCCAAAGAGCGCCCCCCCAUGGCAGGAGAAAAAAGUCCAUUUUUUCUUGUCUCCUAAGGCGAAAAUUCACACUAUUGAGUGUCACGCCUAUACGCUUUGUCAUAUUGACACAAAAAUUGACACACACAUGUAUCUCAAUAAGAUCUACAAAAAAGUCAGUGCGGGCGUAUCUGUCAAAUGUACGGUUAAAGGGCUAUUUCGCAUUUUUUGCCGAUCCGCACACAUUGGAAUUUCGCUAACUCCUCCGAAGGCUUUCGUUCCAAAGGCACCACAUUUGCUCAGGCCAAUCUACACCCCAUGGCCAUUAAAAGUUGUACAAAUCAUGACGCUGCACCCCACGGUUUACGUUCUAGGGGGCGCCAAAGAUAACCCAAAAAUCCACAGUCUUAAAAGUCUUAUAACUUUUUAUUUUUGUCCUCACUGGCCUCCAAGUUCUCUAGGAUGAUGCAAUGUCCAGCCAUCAACACAUUUGUGAAGGAAUUUUUACUCGCCAAAAGAGCGCCCCCCCAUGGCAGGAGAAAAAAGUCCAUUUUUUCUUGUCUCCUAAGGCGAAAAUACACAUUGUUGACUGUCACGCCUUUACGCUUUGUCAAAAUGACACAAAAUUUGACACACACAUGUAUCUCAAUAAGAUCUACGAAAAAGUCAAUGUGAGCGUAUCUGUUCAAUGUACGGUUAAAGGGCUAUUUCGCAUUUUUGGCCGAUUCGCACACAUUGGAAUGUGGCUAACUCCUCCUAAAUCUUUUGUCCCAUCGGCUUCAAAUUUGCUCAGGUCAAUCUACACCCCAUGGCCAUUCAAAGUUGUACAAAUCAUGACGCUGCACCCCACAGUUUACGUUCUAGGGGGCGCCAAAGAGGACCCAAUUAUCCACAUUUUUAAAAGUCUUAUAACUUUUUAUUUUUGUCCUCACUGGCCUCCAAGUUUUCUAGGAUGAUGCAAUGUCCAGCCAUCAACACAUUUGUGAAGGAAUUUUUUCUCCCCAAAAGAGCGCCCCCCCAUGGCAGGAGAAAAAGUCAAGUUUUCCUGCCCAUCGCUCAAUGGCUCAAACGCAUCGCUCUCUCGGCAAAACCGAAAGGAGGAGCAACUUGCCAUUUGGAUAUAUACUAGCUGUGUUUGUGCCCUCACUCAUGGUCCAGACUUUUUUCAAAAAGGACAUGGAGUUUGUCUGCAGCGAGCGUUUUGGUAGAAACUGCGCCUCCCAUUCAUUAUAAUGGUAAAUGACCACAGACAAGUGCGCACACCAUCUUUGGACCUUGAGUGUGACGCGAUCGGGAGGGGUAGGCGGUCGCGCUGGGGGCGGCACGACACGGCUCGGGCCCGCCAGUGCCCCAACGGGGCCCUAGUUAGGGCCCGAGCGUAGCUGCUAAGCAGCUGCGAGAGCCCUCUUGUUCCUGAUGGAUUCUUCUUUCGUUAUUUUUCCUCCGCUUUAAACUGGAAAAUGGCCCACUUCCCACUGGCGAAAACUCAGGAAAUUUGGCAGGACGACCGGGCCUGGUGAAAAAUUCGAUAUUCUGAAGUCGCCCAAACAAUAAAAUGCAAAAUGGCUCCAUAGCGCCCCCUAAGGCGAAAAUUCACACUAUUGACUGUCACGCCUGUACGCUUUGUCAUAUUGACACAAAAAUUGACACACACGUGUAUCUCAAUACGGUCUAUGAAAAAGUCAGCGCGGGCGCAUCUGUGAAAUGUACGGUUAGAGGGUUAUUUCGCAUUUUUUGCCGAUCUGCACACAUUGGAAUUUCGCUAACUCCUCCGAAGGCAUUCGUUCCACCGGCACCACAUUUGCUCAGGCCAAUCUACACCCCAUGGCCAUUAAAAGUUGUACAAAUCAUGACGCUGCACCCCACAGUUUACGUUCUAGGGGGCGCCAAAGAUAACCCAAAAAUCCACAGUCUUAAAAGUCUUAUAACUUUUUAUUUUUGUCCUCACUGGCCUCCAAGUUCUCUAGGAUGAUGCAAUGUCCAGCCAUCAACACAUUUGUGAAGGAAUUUUUACUCCCCAAAAGAGCGCCCCCACAUGGCAGGAGAAAAAAGUCCAUUUUUUCUUGUCCCCUAAGGUGAAAAUACACAUUGUUGAGUGUCACGCCUAUACACUUUGUCAUAUUGACCCAAAAUUUGACAAUCACGUGUAUCUCAAUAAGAUCUACGAAAAAGUCAAUGGGCACGAUCUGUAAAAUGUACGGUUAAAGGGUUAUUUCGCAUUUUUUCCCGAUCCGCACACAUUGGAAUUUCGCUAACUCCUCCUAUGGCUUUAGUUCCACCGCCACCAAAUUUGCUCAGGCCAAUCUACACCCCAUGGCCAUUAAAAGUUGUACAAAUCAUGACGCUGCACUCCAGAGUUUAGGUUCUAGGGGGCGCCAAAGAUAACCCAAAAAUCCACAGUCUUAAAAGUCUUAUAACUUUUUAUUUUUGUCCUCACUGGCCUCCAAGUUUUCUAGGAUGAUGCAAUGUCCAGCCAUCAACACAUUUGCAAAGGAAUUUUUACUCCCGAAAAGAGCGCCCCCCAUGGCAGGAGAAAAAAGUCCAUUUUUUCUUGUCCCCUAAGGUGAAAUAACACAUUGUUGACUGUCACGCCUAUGCGCUUUGUCAAAAUGACACAAAAUUUGACACACACGUGUAUCUCAAUAAGAUCUACGAAAAAGUCAAUGGGCACGUAUCUGUAAAAUGUACGGUUAAAGGGCUAUUUCGCAUUUUUUGCCGAUUCGCACACAUUGGAAUGUGGCUAACUCCUCCUAAGGCUUUCUUCCCACCAACACCAAAUUUGCUCAAGCCGAUCUACAUCCCAUGGCCAUUCAAAGUUGUAAAAAUCAUGCCGCUGCACCCCAUGGUUUACGUUCUAGGGGGCGCCAAAGAUGACCCAAAUAUCCACAUUCUUAAAAGAAUCCACAUCCCCCCCCCACCAAGGCAGGAGAAAAAGUCCAGUUAACCCUGCCCAUCGCUCAAUGGCUCAAUCGCAUCGCUCUCCUGGCAACACCGUAAGGAGGAGCAACUUGCCAUUUGGAUAUAUCCUAGCUGUGUUUGUGCCCUCACUCAUGGUCCAGACUUUUUUCAAAUAGGACAUGUAGUUUGUCUGCAGCGACCGUUUUGGUAGAAAUUGCGCCUCCCAUUCAUUAUAAUGGGAAAUGACCACAGACAAGUGCGGACACCAUCUUUGGACCUUGAGUGUGAUGCGAUCGGGAGGGGGAGGCGGUCGCGCUGGGGGCGGCGCGACGCGGCUCGGGCCCGACAGUGCCCCACCGGGGCCCUAGUUAGGGCCCGAGCGUAGCUGCUAAGCAGCUGCGAGAGCCCUAUUAUUCCUGAUGGAUUCUUCUUUCUUCUUCUUAUUAUUAUUUUUCUGCCCCUUUGAACUGGAAAAUGGCCCACUUCCCACUGGUGAAAAGUCAUGAAAUUUGGCAGGACGACCGGGCCUGGUGAAAAAUUCGAUAUUCUGAAGUCGCCCAAAAAAUCAAAUGCAAAAUGGCUCCAUAGCGCCCCCUAAGGUGAAAAAUUCACAUGAUUGAGUGUCACGCCUGUACGCUUUGUCAAAAUGACACAAAAUUUGACACACACGUGUAUCUCAAUAAGAUCUACAAAAAAGUCAGUGCGGGCGUAUCUGUCAAAUGUACGGUUAAAGGGCUAUUUUGCAUUUUUUGCCGAUCCGCACACAUUGGAAUUUCGCUAACUCCUCCGAAGGCUUUCGUUCCACCGGCACCAAAUUUGCUCAGGCCAAUCUACACCCCAUGGCCAUUAAAAGUUGUACAAAUCAUGACGCUGCAUCCCACGGUUUACGUUCUAGGGGGCGCCAAAGAUAACCCAGAAAUCCACAUUCUUAAAAGUCGUAUAACUUUUUAUUUUUGUCCUCACUGGCCUCCAAGUUUUCUAGGAUGAUGCAAUGUCCAGCCAUCAACACAUUUGUGAAGGAAUUUUUACUCCCCAAAAGAGCGCCCCCCCAUGGCAGGAGAAAAAAGUCCAUUUUUUCUUGUCUCCUAAGGCGAAAAUUCACACUAUUGACUGUCACGCCUUUACGCUUUGUCAUAUUGACACAAAAAUUGACACACACAUGUAUCUCAAUAAGAUCUACAAAAAAGUCAGUGCGGGCGUAUCUGUCAAAUGUACGGUGAAAGGGAUAUUUCGCAUUUUUUGCCGAUCCGCACACAUUGGAAUUUCGCUAACUCCUCCGAAGGCUUUCGUUCCAAAGGCACCACAUUUGCUGAGGCCAAUCUACACCCCAUGGCCAUUAAAAGUUGUACAAAUCAUGAUGCUGCACCCCACGGUUUACGUUCUAGGGGGCGCCAAAGAUAACCCAAAAAUCCACAGUCUUAAAAGUCUUAUAACUUUUUAUUUUUGUCCUCACUGGCCUCCAAGUUCUCUAGGAUGAUGCAAUGUCCAGCCAUCAACACAUUUGUGAAGGAAUUUUUACUCGCCAAAAGAGCGCCCCCCCAUGGCAGGAGAAAAAAGUCCAUUUUUUCUUGUCUCCUAAGGCGAAAAUACACAUUGUUGACUGUCACGCCUUUACGCUUUGUCAAAAUGACACAAAAUUUGACACACACAUGUAUCUCAAUAAGAUCUACAAAAAAGUCAGUGCGGGCGUAUCUGUCAAAUGUACGGUUAAAGGGUUAUUUCGCAUUUUUUGCCGAUCCGCACACAUUGGAAUUUCGCUAACUCCUCCUAAAUCUUUUGUCCCAUCGGCUUCAAAUUUGCUCAGGUCAAUCUACACCCCAUGGCCAUUCAAAGUUGUACAAAUCAUGACGCUGCACCCCACAGUUUACGUUCUAGGGGGCGCCAAAGAGGACCCAAAUAUCCACAUUUUUAAAAGUCUUAUAACUUUUUAUUUUUGUCCUCACUGGCCUCCAAGUUUUCUAGGAUGAUGCAAUGUCCAGCCAUCAACACAUUUGUGAAGGAAUUUUUCUCCCCAAAAGAGCGCCCCCCCAUGGCAGGAGAAAAAGUCAAGUUUUUCCUGCCCAUCGCUCAAUGGCUCAAACGCAUCGCUCUCUCUGCAAAACCGAAAGGAGGAGCAACUUGCCAUUUGGAUAUAUACUAGCUGUGUUUGUGCCCUCACUCAUGGUCCAGACUUUUUUCAAAUAGGACAUGUAGUUUGUCUGCAGCAAGCGUUUUGGUAGAAACUGCGCCUCCCAUUCAUUAUAAUGGGAAAUGACCACAGACAAGUGCGCACACCAUCUUUGGACCUUGAGUGUGACGCGAUCGGGAGGGGGAGGCGGUCGCGCUGGGGGCGGCGCGACGCGGCUCGGGCCCGACAGUGCCCCACCGGGGCCCUAGUUAGGGCCCGAGCCAGCUGCAGAGCAGCCGGGCGUAGAGCCCUAUUAUUCCUGUAUAGGUUUUUCUUUCUUCUUUCUUUCUUUCUUUCUUCUUAUUUUU